UUGAACGCUGGCGGCAGGCCUAACACAUGCAAGUCGAGCGGUAGCACAGAGAGCUUGCUCUCGGGUGACGAGCGGCGGACGGGUGAGUAAUGUCUGGGAAACUGCCUGAUGGAGGGGGAUAACUACUGGAAACGGUAGCUAAUACCGCAUAAUGUCGCAAGACCAAAGUGGGGGACCUUCGGGCCUCAUGCCAUCAGAUGUGCCCAGAUGGGAUUAGCUAGUAGGUGGGGUAACGGCUCACCUAGGCGACGAUCCCUAGCUGGUCUGAGAGGAUGACCAGCCACACUGGAACUGAGACACGGUCCAGACUCCUACGGGAGGCAGCAGUGGGGAAUAUUGCACAAUGGGCGCAAGCCUGAUGCAGCCAUGCCGCGUGUGUGAAGAAGGCCUUCGGGUUGUAAAGCACUUUCAGCGGGGAGGAAGGCGUUAAGGUUAAUAACCUUGGCGAUUGACGUUACCCGCAGAAGAAGCACCGGCUAACUCCGUGCCAGCAGCCGCGGUAAUACGGAGGGUGCAAGCGUUAAUCGGAAUUACUGGGCGUAAAGCGCACGCAGGCGGUCUGUCAAGUCGGAUGUGAAAUCCCCGGGCUCAACCUGGGAACUGCAUUCGAAACUGGCAGGCUAGAGUCUUGUAGAGGGGGGUAGAAUUCCAGGUGUAGCGGUGAAAUGCGUAGAGAUCUGGAGGAAUACCGGUGGCGAAGGCGGCCCCCUGGACAAAGACUGACGCUCAGGUGCGAAAGCGUGGGGAGCAAACAGGAUUAGAUACCCUGGUAGUCCACGCCGUAAACGAUGUCGAUUUGGAGGUUGUGCCCUUGAGGCGUGGCUUCCGGAGCUAACGCGUUAAAUCGACCGCCUGGGGAGUACGGCCGCAAGGUUAAAACUCAAAUGAAUUGACGGGGGCCCGCACAAGCGGUGGAGCAUGUGGUUUAAUUCGAUGCAACGCGAAGAACCUUACCUGGUCUUGACAUCCACAGAACUUUCCAGAGAUGGAUUGGUGCCUUCGGGAACUGUGAGACAGGUGCUGCAUGGCUGUCGUCAGCUCGUGUUGUGAAAUGUUGGGUUAAGUCCCGCAACGAGCGCAACCCUUAUCCUUUGUUGCCAGCGGUUCGGCCGGGAACUCAAAGGAGACUGCCAGUGAUAAACUGGAGGAAGGUGGGGAUGACGUCAAGUCAUCAUGGCCCUUACGACCAGGGCUACACACGUGCUACAAUGGCAUAUACAAAGAGAAGCGACCUCGCGAGAGCAAGCGGACCUCAUAAAGUAUGUCGUAGUCCGGAUUGGAGUCUGCAACUCGACUCCAUGAAGUCGGAAUCGCUAGUAAUCGUGGAUCAGAAUGCCACGGUGAAUACGUUCCCGGGCCUUGUACACACCGCCCGUCACACCAUGGGAGUGGGUUGCAAAAGAAGUAGGUAGCUUAACCUUCGGGAGGGCGCUUACCACUUUGUGAUUCAUGACUGGGGUG
rnacentral:rRNA from 1 species